AGCGAACGUUUGCGGCGGGCCUAACACAUGCAAGUCGAACGCACUAGCAAUAGUGAGUGGCGCACGGGUGCGUAACACGUGGGUAAUCAACCCUUCAGCUUGGGAUAACGACUUGAAAGGGUCGCUAAUACCGGAUACGGCGCGGGAGGCUUCGGCUUCUCACGAGAAAGCCUCGCAAGGGGCACUGAAGGACGAGCCUGCGGCCCAUCAGCUAGUUGGUGAGGUAAGAGCUCACCAAGGCGAAGACGGGUAGCUGGUCUGAGAGGAUGAUCAGCCACACUGGAACUGAGACACGGUCCAGACUCCUACGGGAGGCAGCAGUGGGGAAUAUUGCGCAAUGGGCGAAAGCCUGACGCAGCCACGCCGCGUGAGCGAUGAAGGCCUUCGGGUCGUAAAGCUCUGUGGGGAGGAAAUUGCAUGGGCUAAUACCCUGUGUAGAUGACGGUACCUGGAGAAGAAGCACCGGCUAACUACGUGCCAGCAGCCGCGGU
rnacentral:rRNA from 1 species